UACGUAGGGACCAAGCGUUGUUCGGAUUUACUGGGCGUAAAGGGCGCGUAGGCGGCAAAUUAAGUCAGCUGUGAAAUCUCCGAGCUUAACUCGGAACUGUCAGCUGAUACUGAUGUGCUAGAGUGCGGAAGGGGCAAUCGGAAUUCUUGGUGUAGCGGUGAAAUGCGUAGAUAUCAAGAGGAACACCUGAGGUGAAGACGGGUUGCUGGGCCGACACGUGACGCUGAGUGCGCGAAAGCCAGGGGAGCGAACGGGG
rnacentral:rRNA from 1 species